rnacentral:rRNA from 1 species
CCUACGGGUGGCAGCAGUGGGGAAUAUUGCACAAUGGGGGGAACCCUGAUGCAGCGACGCCGCGUGAGUGAAGAAGUAUUUCGGUAUGUAAAGCUCUAUCAGCAGGGGAGAAAAUGACGGUACCUGCUUAAGACUCCCCGGCUAACUACGUGCCGGCAGCCGCGGUAGUACGUAGGGGGCAAGCGUUAUCCGGAUUUACUGGGUGUAACGGGAGCGUAGACGGGAGCACGAGUCUGGAGUGAAAUGCCGGGGCUUAACCCCGGAACUGCUGUUGAAACUGUGCAGCUAGAGUGCAGGAGAGGUAAGGGGAAUUGCUAGGGGAGCGGUGAAAUGCGUAGAUAUUAGGAGGAAAACCAGUGGCGAAGGCGGCUUACUGGACUGGAACUGACGUUGAGGCUCGAAAGCGUGGGGAGCAAACAGGAUUAGAUACCCCUUGUAGUC